AUUGAACGCUGGCGGCAGGCCUAACACAUGCAAGUCGAGCGGAUGAAGGGAGCUUGCUCCUGGAUUCAGCGGCGGACGGGUGAGUAAUGCCUAGGAAUCUGCCUGGUAGUGGGGGAUAACGUCCGGAAACGGGCGCUAAUACCGCAUACGUCCUGAGGGAGAAAGUGGGGGAUCUUCGGACCUCACGCUAUCAGAUGAGCCUAGGUCGGAUUAGCUAGUUGGUGGGGUAAAGGCCCACCAAGGCGACGAUCCGUAACUGGUCUGAGAGGAUGAUCAGUCACACUGGAACUGAGACACGGUCCAGACUCCUACGGGAGGCAGCAGUGGGGAAUAUUGGACAAUGGGCGAAAGCCUGAGCCAGCCAUGCCGCGUGUGUGAAGAAGGUCUUCGGAUUGUAAAGCACUUUAAGUUGGGAGGAAGGGCAGUAAGUUAAUACCUUGCUGUUUUGACGUUACCAACAGAAUAAGCACCGGCUAACUUCGG
rnacentral:rRNA from 1 species